GGGGUUGUAGCUCAGCGGUAGUGCAUCUGCUUUGAAUAUGGAAGGCUCCAGGUUCAAUCCCCAAGAUCUCCA